CUCUCUCUAUGAUGCGCGGACCCCACUCAUCUUCUCCUACCUCUAACCAGUCUCCUGCUCGCGUACGCAACCCGCGCGCCUGAUCUCCCUGAUCCCUCCCUGAUCUGGUCCAUCUCGAACCGCCACGAGACCUCCUCGACCACCUCUUCCGAUUUCUGCACCAAGCACUCGGUUUCCCGUUCAAGAUCGAGCACACGGACCUCACAAAAACUCCGCCGACCGAGCUUCCUUCCAUGGCCAAACCCCGGCAACUGUAAGCCACCCCUGCCUCUGUGGUCGUCCGAGGGAUCUCCUUGAUGCGCCGCCUCUCCCUGACCAUCUCCCCCUUAGCAGAUGCUCGAAUUCAAGCACCCAAGGUCGCCCGAUCUCACCGGAGCGCCAUCCAUCGUCGUUUCACUUCUCUGCAGGACCAGGAUGCCCCAGAGCAGUCCGGCGACGUGUGAGAUCACACCCUGCCACGCCUAAUCUCCCCGACUUCCCUAAGUCACAGAACCACCGGAGACGCCUUUCACCACCGCCAUCUUCCCCUGCUUCCGGUGAGCACGCACGUGCAACCCCCCCCCUUCGGCCAAUCCUAGAGCGACACGUGGCCACAUCUACAGUAGCCGCGGCAGCUCAAACUCUGUUUUUGACAGAUUUUUCAAUCCAAUUUCGUUUAGCUAUAUCUGGUGAUCCGUAUAUCCAAAUCGAGUGAUUCUUUUUCCUGCAUGAUCAAAAUGACCUCUACUAUCCUAUAGUGUAAAUAUUUCAAUUGUUCAAGCUUUUCAAAUUUGAGUGAGUCGAAUUUGAAUUCAAAUCUUCAUAUGGUGAUAUCUUGCAGACCGUAGCACAUUUUCAAUCGAUUCCUUUUUGCCCGUGAAACACUAGUACCAAUACUUGCUGAUCGCAUCCUAUAUACCCAAUAUUCGCAUAAUUCUUGACCUGUUUUGAAUUUAAAUUCAAUUCAAACUUCAUUCACUAUAAUUUGAGUUGUAGUGCUCCUAUUCAAUUCAUUCUUUUUGCAAAUGAACACCUAUGUCAUAUACCUUCUGUUCAACAACAUGUUUGUUGUUUUCCAUAUAAUUCUGAGCCUAUUCCAUAUGGUCUCAAAUAUAAUCCUAUAUAUAAAUCCUUCCAUAUCAGUUGACUCUUUUGAGUUCAUUCCUUCACCUGUCACCUUAUAUUACCGUUAGACCCUAUGUUAUACUUUAAACCUAUAUUAUAUAUAUUAAGCCUAUAUAUAUUGAUGUUUCCCAACCUUGCCAUAAUUGUUUUGUUGUUCUUUGGUUCUUAUUCAUGACAUGGUUAUUGAUUUGGAUUUUUUCCUUAAUGGUAGAUUGCCCGAAGCGUGAGGAGUAGAAAUAUCAGGAUUGUGAGUGCGAAGAACUUCAUCAAAUGUACCAGGCAAGUUACACCUUGAUCAUACCCCAACCUAUUAUUUUUCUAUGCAUGUAGUUAUAUGUUUAUAUCACAUCACUAUAUUAUGCAUGUGUAGGAAGAUCAUGGUAGUAUGUUAUUGCUACUAAGUUUCAACUUAGUAUGGCCUUAUUGUAGACCGUGGUAGUGUAUUCUUGCUAUGAUAUGUAGACGGAGAUUGGUUCGUGUAUUCAUCGAGUUUAUGUGAGGACUAUAUAUAAUAUAACUUGAGUAAAAACAUAAUAUAUAAUUCACUUCUGGACGGACAGGGUUGCAUCAUGGUUUAUCGUUCCUUUUCUAAGGAUGUGGACCAUGGCUAAGUGCGCCCGAAUGGUAUUGCUGGGUGGUUUCAAGAACAUCAUGGUUUAUACCCUUUGAAUGUAAGUCGGUACCGUCCAGGCUCAAAAAGAUCAAACAGACUUAGUGACUAGUAGCUUCCAUGUAUAGCCACUGGCUAAUAUGGGCUCUGGCUUAGUUGAUCAGUUGUGGGGACCUUACCCGGAUGUGCCAGCAAAUGUAGUUAUGAUAGUUGGGAUGGGCCUCCUGUGGGACUAGGCGACUGCUUCUGAAAGACUGUGUCUCAAUCCUCGGGUUGAGUCCAGUGGGUAAAGUGUACAGACCUCUGUAGAGUGUAUAAACUAAUCAUGAUUAGCCGUGUCCCCGGUUAUGGACAAAUUUGAACCACUAUGCCAUUACAGUUGUUGGAUGAUCUUGACAGAUGAUACAAUUACUAAAACUUGAUGGGAAACUUAAUAAUGGGUAUAGGCUGGUAUUGGGUUGCCCAAUUCAACCAUAUGUAUUUAACUGUGGCAAGACAUAAUUGAAAUUUGACUACAAUACUAUGUAGUUAUCAGGGAAAAACUAGCUUUCUGCAAAACAGCCACUACAUUAUCCUCUUGAUAUACCUUGCAUAUAGAUGUAGGCAUGUUAUAUCAUUCCUUGUGUGACUUGCCAAUACAUUCAAAGUAUUGACCCUUCGUGGCUGCAACGUUUCAUGUUGCAGAUUUUAUACGACGAGUGAGUGAUACGAUGUAGGGUUAUGAUGUCUAUACUCGACAUUUGCCUGUGGUGUUGAUGGAUUUCAUGGAGAUUUAUUUGCUUUUCUGCUGUAUUUUUGUUAUGAAGCUAGCCUUGAGCUACACAGGUAUGUAAUGUGUAAAUUCUGGAUCUACGAUGUAAUAUUAUGACAUGUGGUUUAUUCUUGAUAUUACAUCGUGUACUGUGUGUGCUAGCUAUUGAUCCAGGGACUAGCAUAGUGAGCACAGAGACAUCGAAUCUUAUCAGGUUCGGG
rnacentral:lncRNA from 1 species